UUUCCGUAGGUGAACCUGCGGAAGGAUCAUUAACGAAUAACUAUGGUGUCUUGGUUGUCGCUGGCUCCUCGGAGCAUCGUGCACGCCCGCCAUUUUUAUCUAUCCACCUGUGCACCGAAUGUAGGUCUGGAUGACUCUCGUCUCCGGGCGGAUGCGAGGUUUGCGUGUGCGUAGCACGUUCGCGCGCGUUGCGUACGGGCUCACCUCGAAUUUCCAGACUCUACGUCUUUUUACACACCCCAAACGUAUGAUGCAGAAUGUAGUCGAUGGGCCUUUAAAAGCCUAUAAAACACUAUACAACUUUCAGCAACGGAUCUCUUGGCUCUC
rnacentral:misc_RNA from 1 species